rnacentral:rRNA from 1 species
GGAUAACCUGCCCUUGGGUCCGGGCAUAACCCNGGGAAACUGGGGAAUAAUUCCGGAUAACGCACAUAUGCUGGAAUGCUUUAUGCGUCAAAUGGAUUCGUCUGCCCAAGGAUGGGUCUGCGGCCUAUCAGGUAGUAGUGGGUGUAAUGUACCUACUAGCCGACGACGGGUACGGGUUGUGAGAGCAAGAGCCCGGAGAUGGAUUCUGAGACAUGAAUCCAGGCCCUACGGGGCGCAGCAGGCGCGAAAACUUUACAAUGCGGGAAACCGUGAUAAGGGGACACCGAGUGCCAGCGUCAUACGCUGGCUGUCCAGAUGUGUAAAAUACAUCUGUUAGCAAGGGCCGGGCAAGACCGGUGCCAGCCGCCGCGGUAACACCGGCGGCCCGAGUGGUGAUCGUGAUUAUUGGGUCUAAAGGGUCCGUAGCCGGUUUGGUCAGUCCUCCGGGAAAUCUGAUAGCUCAACUGUUAGGCUUUCGGGGGAUACUGCCAGACUUGGAACCGGGAGAGGUAAGAGGUACUACAGGGGUAGGAGUGAAAUCUUGUAAUCCCUGUGGGACCACCUGUGGCGAAGGCGUCUUACCAGAACGGGUUCGACGGUGAGGGACGAAAGCUGGGGGCACGAACCGGAUUAGAUACCCGGGUAGUCCCAGCCGUAAACGAUGCUCGCUAGGUGUCAGGCAUGGCGCGACCGUGUCUGGUGCCGCAGGGAAGCCGUGAAGCGAGCCACCUGGGAAGUACGGCCGCAAGGCUGAAACUUAA